UAAACGAUAAACCACGAAUAUCUUACCUGUUUUCUGUUUGUAUACCGUCAUUAUCAGAUAACCUUUAAAAAGUUAGUUAUUGAAAAUAAAAAAUUAAAAAAAUUAGAUCAAGGUGCAGUUUGAACAGGAGAAAAUGGGUUACAAUAAGAAAUAAUUUAUAUGGAUUUAUUUUUGAAAUAAAAUAUUGAAAGUGGAUUUAAUUGUAAAAUUUUAUUAAUUAAGAUAAUUUGACAUAAGCUCUAAAGUAUGUACAUAUCGCCCGUCGCUCGCGGGAAA
rnacentral:rRNA from 1 species